AUGAACGCUAGCUACAGGCUUAACACAUGCAAGUCGAGGGGCAGCAUGAACUUAGCUUGCUAAGUUUGAUGGCGACCGGCGCACGGGUGAGUAACACGUAUCCAACCUGCCGAUGACUCGGGGAUAGCCUUUCGAAAGAAAGAUUAAUACCCGAUGGCAUAGUUCUUCCGCAUGGUAGAACUAUUAAAGAACUUCGGUCAUCGAUGGGGAUGCGUUCCAUUAGGUUGUUGGCGGGGUAACGGCCCACCAAGCCUUCGAUGGAUAGGGGUUCUGAGAGGAAGGUCCCCCACAUUGGAACUGAGACACGGUCCAAACUCCUACGGGAGGCAGCAGUGAGGAAUAUUGGUCAAUGGACGAGAGUCUGAACCAGCCAAGUAGCGUGAAGGAUGACUGCCCUAUGGGUUGUAAACUUCUUUUAUACGGGAAUAAAGUGAGGCACGUGUGCCUUUUUGUAUGUACCGUAUGAAUAAGGAUCGGCUAACUCCGUGCCAGCAGCCGCGGUAAUACGGAGGAUCCGAGCGUUAUCCGGAUUUAUUGGGUUUAAAGGGAGCGUAGGCGGACGCUUAAGUCAGUUGUGAAAGUUUGCGGCUCAACCGUAAAAUUGCAGUUGAUACUGGGUGUCUUGAGUACAGUAGAGGCAGGCGGAAUUCGUGGUGUAGCGGUGAAAUGCUUAGAUAUCACGAAGAACUCCGAUUGCGAAGGCAGCCUGCUGGACUGUAACUGACGCUGAUGCUCGAAAGUGUGGGUAUCAAACAGGAUUAGAUACCCUGGUAGUCCACGCAGUAAACGAUGAUAACUCGUUGUCGGCGAUACACAGUCGGUGACUAAGCGAAAGCGAUAAGUUAUCCACCUGGGGAGUACGUUCGCAAGAAUGAAACUCAAAGGAAUUGACGGGGGCCCGCACAAGCGGAGGAACAUGUGGUUUAAUUCGAUGAUACGCGAGGAACCUUACCCGGGCUUGAAUUGCAACUGAAUGAUGUGGAGACAUGUCAGCCGCAAGGCAGUUGUGAAGGUGCUGCAUGGUUGUCGUCAGCUCGUGCCGUGAGGUGUCGGCUUAAGUGCCAUAACGAGCGCAACCCUUAUCGAUAGUUACCAUCAGGUUAUGCUGGGGACUCUGUCGAGACUGCCGUCGUAAGAUGUGAGGAAGGUGGGGAUGACGUCAAAUCAGCACGGCCCUUACGUCCGGGGCUACACACGUGUUACAAUGGGGGGUACAGAAGGCAGCUACACGGCGACGUGAUGCUAAUCCCGAAAGCCUCUCUCAGUUCGGAUUGGAGUCUGCAACCCGACUCCAUGAAGCUGGAUUCGCUAGUAAUCGCGCAUCAGCCACGGCGCGGUGAAUACGUUCCCGGGCCUUGUACACACCGCCCGUCAAGCCAUGAAAGCCGGGGGUACCUGAAGUGCGUAACCGCAAGGAGCGCCCUAGGGUAAAACUGGUGAUUGGGGCU
rnacentral:rRNA from 1 species